rnacentral:tRNA from 1 species
GAGGAGUUAGUUAACUAAUAACCUUAGCCUGUCAAGAUAAAAUAGCGGGUUAAACCCCCGCACCCCUCA